rnacentral:antisense_RNA from 1 species
GCGGCCGCGGGCGACUCCUGGUACCCCCGAGGCCCCGCGAACUUACCUUCACAAAGCUGUCGGCGUCCGGGAAGCCUGGCAGCACCAUCUCUCCGUCGGAUUUGGUCGCGCUGGUCGCCGACAGGACCCUGGGCUCCCGGGUACUGGGUGGCGCCAUUUUUUCAGCCUGCACGGCUCGUCUCGCGAGAGCUUGUCGGCCGAGGAGACGGGACGCGUGCGCACCACGCAUGCGCCAGGUAAGCUCCUGAAGAAAGCGUCUAGCUCCAACUGUGCUUCCUCCCUCCAGUACCCUCUGAACUCCUCCAAGCAGACGUUGUUUCCUGCAGACAUCGCUGGAACCAUUCUGGUUAACACAGAGUGGGAACUCAGUACACAUUUGUGAAGUGAACUCCUGGAAGAGCUCUUGUGAGGGAGGCACCGAAUUAUCAGGCAGCUCAAGAGAUAGAUUCACUCUCCUGAAAUUAGAGAUGGGAUGCCCUUAAUACAA